rnacentral:lncRNA from 1 species
AUUGAUAUGCACAAUAAAAGGAUAAGGGUAAGAAAUGUUCAUUUAGAUGUGGAACCAAUGACACCCAAAAGCUUGAUCCAUCUUCUUUUACAAAAAGUCUUUAACAAGAAAAAGAAAUAAAACAACAAAAGCAAAAUAUACUCUAAAAAAAAGGAAAACCUAAUCUAAAAAUGAAAAGAAAAGAAAACAUAACCUAACACUACGGAAACUAAAGAGAAAUUGUU